ensembl:lncRNA
GUCAGACUGACUUAGAGCCAGAGAGCAGUGAUUGGUCAGACCAUAGAUAAUAUAGGAGACAGCACGCUAGCGUAUCUAGUCUAUGUAUAUCUGUGGUCGGCACGUCUGGUAGCAUCUCUGGCUGCUGUUGACCUUGUUUUUGGAGUAAAACUCGAUGCACAAUGAGGGACGUCUGCAGAGACUGAGAAAGAGUCUCACCACAUUCUGACAUCAGGAAAAAGACUUUAUUGAAGACUGCAAUGAGAAAAACUAUCAGACAGCAGACGGCAUGCAUUCAAGUCUGUAGCUGCUGAAUUCAUGGAUGAAUCAUCUGGCACUAGAGAAGAAGACGAUCAAACAUUCACGUCAGCUGAUGGAGGUCCAAGAGUCUCACCGAACAACCAACCUACAGAGUGAAGACCUCGAAUCUGAUUGGACGGCCUCCUAUUCAGCCACGUGUGAACAAAUGCCUCUAAGUUGAUUUGUUUUCUAAAAUAAAUCUAGUUUGAGUCC